rnacentral:sRNA from 1 species
AUAUUCUGCCCCAAGGGAAGGAUGAGAAGCUUCGACUAAGGUUCGACUCGAGCGAAGCGAGAGAACGUUGCCGCAGGCAACGGCCCGAAGGGCGAGGCGCUUUAGCGCCGAGUAAUCCUUCCCCCACCACCA